rnacentral:rRNA from 1 species
AACGGAUCUCUUGGUUCUGGCAUCGAUGAAGAACGCAGCGAAAUGCGAUAAGUAAUGUGAAUUGCAGAAUUCAGUGAAUCAUCGAAUCUUUGAACGCACAUUGCGCCCCUUGGUAUUCCGAGGGGCAUGCC